rnacentral:rRNA from 1 species
UAGCAGGCCCUUCGGGGUGCUGACGAGUGGCGGACGGGUGAGUAAAGCGUAGGAAUCUACCUAGUUGAGUGGGAUAGCUUAGGGAAACUUAGGGUAAUACCGCAUGAGUCUGAGAAGAGAAAGCUGGGGACCGCAAGGCCUGGCGCGAUUAGAUGAGCCUACGUCGGAUUAGCUAGUUGGUAGGGUAAAGGCCUACCAAGGCGAUGAUCCGUAGCUGGUCUGAGAGGACGACCAGCCACACUGGGACUGAGACACGGCCCAGACUCCUACGGGAGGCAGCAGUGGGGAAUAUUGGACAAUGGGCGGAAGCCUGAUCCAGCGAUGCCGCGUGUGUGAAGAAGGCCUGCGGGUUGUAAAGCACUUUCAGUGGGGAGAAUGAGCUUUGUACUAAUACUAUGAAGUGAAGAUGUUACCCACAGAAGAAGCACCGGCUAACUCUGUGCCAGCAGCCGCGGUAAUACAGAGGGUGCGAGCGUUAAUCGGAAUUACUGGGCGUAAAGGGUGCGUAGGUGGUUAGGUAAGUCUGAUGUGAAAGUCCUGAGCUCAACUUGGGGAUUGCGUCAGAUACUGUUUGACUAGAGUACUGUAGAGGGAAGUGGAAUUUCCGGUGUAGCGGUGAAAUGCGUAGAUAUCGGAAGGAACAUCAGUGGCGAAGGCGAUUUUCUGGACAGUUACUGACACUGAGGCACGAAAGCAUGGGGAGCAAACAGGAUUAGAUACCCUGGUAGUCCAUGCUGUAAACGAUGAAAACUGGCUGUUGGGUACGAUAAGUACUUAGUAGCGAAGCUAACGCGUUAAGUUUUCCGCCUGGGGAGUAC